AGGCACACCCGGAGAACUGAAACAUCUUAGUACCCGGAGGAAGAGAAAGAAAAUUCGAUUCCCUUAGUAGCGGCGAGCGAAACGGGAAGAGCCCAAACCAACAAGCUUGCUUGUUGGGGUUGUAGGACACUCUAUACGGAGUUACAAAGGACGACAUUAGACGAAUCAUCUGGAAAGAUGAAUCAAAGAAGGUAAUAAUCCUGUAGUCGAAAAUGUUGUCUCUCUUGAGUGGAUCCUGAGUACGACGGAGCACGUGAAAUUCCGUCGGAAUCUGGGAGGACCAUCUCCUAAGGCUAAAUACUCUCUAGUGACCGAUAGUGAACCAGUACCGUGAGGGAAAGGUGAAAAGCACCCCGGAAGGGGAGUGAAAUAGAACCUGAAACCGUGUGCUUACAAGUAGUCAGAGCCCGUUAAUGGGUGAUGGCGUGCCUUUUGUAGAAUGAACCGGCGAGUUACGAUUUGAUGCAAGGUUAAGCAGUAAAUGUGGAGCCGUAGCGAAAGCGAGUCUGAAUAGGGCGUUUAGUAUUUGGUCGUAGACCCGAAACCAGGUGAUCUACCCUUGGUCAGGUUGAAGUUCAGGUAACACUGAAUGGAGGACCGAACCGACUUACGUUGAAAAGUGAGCGGAUGAACUGAGGGUAGCGGAGAAAUUCCAAUCGAACCUGGAGAUAGCUGGUUCUCUCCGAAAUAGCUUUAGGGCUAGCCUCAAGUGAUGAUUAUUGGAGGUAGAGCACUGUUUGGACGAGGGGCCCCUCUCGGGUUACCGAAUUCAGACAAACUCCGAAUGCCAAUUAAUUUAACUUGGGAGUCAGAACAUGGGUGAUAAGGUCCGUGUUCGAAAGGGAAACAGCCCAGACCACCAGCUAAGGUCCCAAAAUAUAUGUUAAGUGGAAAAGGAUGUGGCGUUGCCCAGACAACUAGGAUGUUGGCUUAGAAGCAGCCAUCAUUUAAAGAGUGCGUAAUAGCUCACUAGUCGAGUGACACUGCGCCGAAAAUGUACCGGGGCUAAACAUAUUACCGAAGCUGUGGAUUGUCCUUUGGACAAUGGUAGGAGAGCGUUCUAAGG
rnacentral:rRNA from 1 species